GCGGGGAGGUUGGAGCAGCUUGGACGGCGCUUGGGGAGGGUGGGGGUGCAGGGGCGUGUGUGGGAGUGGGUUUGGGCAUUGCCUUGGCUGGCACGGGCUGCCGCCGGACGCCUGGGAGCGCUGUCGAGGGCCAGGCACGGAACGCAAGCAGCAGGGAGGGCGUGUGGUGUUGUGGGUCCGCCGUUCUGUGCGCGGGUGCCCACGGGGUGAAAGCGGGGAACGGGCGAACGC
rnacentral:lncRNA from 1 species